UUGACCUUGAAAAGUGAAUAAGAGUUAAGUAGCAGAAGGCUGAAGGGAGGGUUUCCAAGUUGAGGGAACAGCAGGGGCAAAGGCCCAGAGACACGAUAAAGAGGGAAGGUUUAGAAGGGCACAUCCUGGGGAUUAUUUUAUGGAAGCCUUUGGUAGGGAGAACCCAGAGUUAGGACUCAGGGUGGGGAGAGAACAGGAUGGUGCCUUUCUCAGUCAAGCUUUAGGAUCAAUGAACAGAUGAGACUUGCCCCAGGACUGCCCAGGUGCUUUCAUGAAGGGGCUUGCAUCUUCGGAACAGACUGGAAGCAUAGGACGUGCCGGAGGUUGCAAGCAUCUGCUGCUUGCCAGACGCACUGUGCUGGGUGUUGAGGAGAACAUGAGGACGGAUGCAGUAGUUACAUCCUUGAGGAAUUCAUGGCCUCACAGAGAAGAUAACAGAGGACAUGAAUUCCAGGGCAUGAGAACUGGAGUCCAUUUUUUUCCUGAACAGAACUUUGAGGUCAUCUUAUCCAAGUGAGUAAGUGGAGGCUCUGGAAGGAGAAGGGUCUGGGCCUAGGGUCUGCCGACUAGCCUCAUCGCCGGCCCCUGUAUAGGUUGGAGAGGUAAGUCGGCGGGGGGUGGGGGUGGGGGAUCUUGCUUCAGAUGAUUAGGAAAAGCUUUAGUGGAGCAAGCCCUUGAACUGGGCCUUAAAGAUUGUUUAGAAUUCUGGAAGGCAAAGAUGUGGGGAGUGUUUGCCAGCAGGAAGGAAUAGCUUGAGCAAAGGUGGAGCAGCUGAGAAGCAGAGGCUGAUCAAGGGAUGGCAAGUGGUUCCAGAGUGACAGAAGCCCCCUUGGUCAGGGGAGGGGGUCCCCACACUGUACCUGCAGAGGCUGGGAGUGACCAUCCAGUCCCUCAUAGUUUCCGUGGAUUGGUUCUACCCUCCAGUGCCCUGCCAGAAAUUAAUUCUAUUCAGGAUAAUGAGCUUGGACCCUGGACACCAGACCGGCUUAAAUAAACCUCUCUUGAAUGUUGGAUUUAUGAUAUGUUAUGAGCAGGAGCUUGACUGAGCACAUGCUAGAUGGAUGAACCCAAAUACUAAAAAAAAAAAAAAAAAAAAAAAAAC